rnacentral:lncRNA from 1 species
UUGGUCGAAUAGAACAUUUGGUCUUUUUAUUCACUGAUUUCCAAUUUACACAUUUGAACAGCAAACACUCAAUAAUUCUCUUGACUAAAUGAUUAAAUUCAGAAAUCAUUCAGCCAAAUACACAACAGCACAUACAAGUCCGCACGUCCAACAUCAACUAAAACAAGCAAAAACAAAUACACAAGCACGAUACACAAGCACAUACAAGUGUGCUUACAAGCAAAAACAGAUACACAAGCACCAAAACAUGGUGCAACAUCAACUAAAACUGUGGUGCGCAUCUCCAUGCCUCUUCCGAUCUUCCGUCACAGCAACAGCAGCCCAAACAACAUUAGAUCCUGAUCCAGAUCACCAAAAAGAAACAUUAUUAAAUGUUUAGAGACAAUGCCAUCAACAUGAGGCGGUAAUCCAACUUAACACUUUGUCAACAUAUUUUACAUAUGCAAAUAACUAAUUAAGCUUAUACUGUAUAAGUUUAAGAUCCAAAUGCAAUGUGAAAUUGAAUUGCCAAAUAGUAGCAUGGUACAUUGGUACAAGUGCAGGUCGUACAAUGAGCGUCACCGUAACAGAUUCACCUGAAGAAAAAUACUACUCUACUACCACUACCAUCGAUUCAACUGACAGGAUCUAACAAUACUAGUGAGCGCACAGAGACUAACAUCACAAGGCAGGAGAGAUAGAGGGAACAGGGACCUGAUGAUGAUAGUGUCGACGAUGAUCGGAUUGGGUUAGCAUCAUUGAGGAGGUGGAUGAUUUACACACAUUUGUCAUCCAAAGUAAACUCCUGCAUGAUUAAAAAAACUACAUCAAAACUUCUUCCAGUCAAUCAAACAAUAAAGAUCAGUGUGGGUUAUAUAGAAGAGAAGAGAUCGGUGUCCCUAGGAAGCACAACAAAUGCUAAAAAUCGUAACUAGACAAUUAAUAAUUGUAUCCUUUUGUACAAGCACAUACGAAUAGAUAACAUUUUUGGUACAACAGAGCAACUCCAUAUGAGGAGGAAAAGGGUUGUGUGAUGAAAAGCUUACAAACUUGACAAUCUCGCCACAUUGUAAACCAGAUAUUAGUAUGAGGAAGAAAUAAUAAUCUCUCGCCACGAUCGACUCUUGUAACUACUGUACGCAGCUCUAUAUGUACCAUGUACUGAACACUAAGGACUUAACAUGACACAACAGACACCAGCUACAAAUCCCAGGCAAUAUCUACUAGCACAGUUAACCAGAACAAUUACAAACAGAGUAGGAAAUCAUGAAUGUGUAAAUGCAUGAAUGGUUCUUUAGAUCAACUUUAAAGCUAGCAGCAAGCAUGUUUAGACAACUUAACAACAUUAGUAAUACUACUUCAGAUUUGGACUAGUAGAAGGCCAGGCAGAAUUCUGAGAACUUUAUUGAAUUCAUUCAAUAGAGGAUAGCACAAACAAAAAACAAACUGUCAAAAUGAGUCUUUGUUCUUAACAGUACAGAGCAAUCAUGACUGGAAUUGUAGAUGUUCUGUCGGUUAUACUAUAUUAAACUGAGCCAAUUAUUGUAGGUGAAAGUAAUGCUCCUAGUAUAUCAUCAUCAUUAACAUCAAACAAUUCUGAAUGUAAUCAGAGGAAGCACAGCCCAAUCAUGUGCAAUCAACUCAUAAUAGAAGGGUACAGAUGAUAUCCAAAUACAAGAACUUGUUUACUCCUGCAGAUUUGCUUGCAUGUUCAGAAUCUGCAAAUAUUCAGAAGCAUGUUCAAUAUACUUACUAAAAAAUACUGUUAAAUGUUGACAAGUUCAAUCUUGUUAAAUACUCCAAGCAAAAUUACUCCACACAUGUACAGUUCAAUCUUGUUAAAUACUCUAAGAAAAAUUACUGGAGUACUGGAGUACUACAAGUUAAAUGUAAUCCAAGCACAUUGAGAAGUUAACAGUAGUGCUGCUAACUUGGAGUAGCUUUGACUAUGUGCAAAGCAAGAUGGAGGGUCUAGCUUACUGCUGCUACUCCACAUAUCAAAUUUUACUUAACAGAGCAAGAUGGAGUAACCCAAAAAAAUUAACAGAGCAAGCAAAUGUACUCCAAAUGGCAGUUCACCAGAGAUUUUCAAGUUAAAAAUACUCCCAGGGGUAAACAACAAUGACAUGGACGAAGUAAAGGAUGGAUGUUGUAAAUUAAUCCAGUAAUUCUUUUUUGUUCUCAUAUUUUUCACCCUCGAGACACUGCCUAGAGCGCUUACAAGAUGACAAAGUUAAUUUUGCAUAACACAUAUGGAUUCUUAUCUUCUUCAGUAAGAGGGGCACAUUUACAGCUAAGCACGAUGAAAGGGACCAUCCAAUUAAAUUCCAUUCUUAUCUUCUUCAGUAAGGACAGGCAAAACAUCCCAGCAUAUCUCAAGUCGAUGAAUUAUUCUAGCAAUAACCAAAUUGGAAACAUCCCUCGUUGUUCCAUUUAACCAUGCUACAAGACAGUAGAAGAAUCA